GAUGAAGAACGUAGCGAAAUGCGAUACUUGGUGUGAAUUGCAGAAUCCCGUGAACCAUCGAGUCUUUGAACGCAAGUUGCCCCCGAAGCCAUCAGGUUGAGGCACGUCUGCCUGGGCGUCACAUAUCGUUGCCCAAUGCCUAUUGCAGUGCAAUAGGAAUUUCUAGGGCGAAUGAUGGCUUCCCGUGAGCGUUGUUGCCUCGCGGUUGGUUGAAAAUCGAGUCCUUGGUAGGGUGUGCCAUGGUAGAUGGUGGUCGAGUUAGAACGAUACCGAUCAUGUGCAUGCUCCCCAAAAUAUGGCCUCUAUGACCCACACGCGUCUUUUGACGCUCAUGACGAGACCUCAGGUCAGGCGGGGCUACCCGCUGAAUUUAAGCAUAUCAAUAAGCGGAGGA
rnacentral:misc_RNA from 1 species